CUUGUUCAUCACUCUACCCAUUUACAAAAACAGAUUUUUGUUCAAUUCAAUUCCAAGAAAUCAACAGAACACAAAAUCAAUUCUCCUCUCCUUGAUUCAAACCACCACCCACGACCACCAUCUUCCACCACCAUAUCCACCAUUAUCGACCACCACCAACCAACUAGAACCACUCGACUGCCGCAACCACCACCGCACACCCACCGUAGCUCCCUGCUCUCUCUCCUUCCACGUCGCAAACUCCCCUGCCCCUCCCUCUUUUCUCUUCGUUGCACCACACCUGCAGCCACCAACUCAGCACCACCACCACCUCCAGCCACCAUCACCACCUUGCCAACCAACUGCUACCCCAAAGUAACCCGUCGCGCCGCCCUACUCCCGCCCAGACACGACCAAGAAACACCCCUUUCCCCUGUUUUUCUUUCGCCCAACCAAUCCCCUUUUCCCCUCCUUCCCCCGCCUGUAUCACCGUCGCCCCACCACCACCAUCACCGUCGCCUCCAGGCGCGGUUCACGGUGAUGCGCCGCCCAGCCUGGCCACCUUAUUCCUCCCUCCUCUUCGUGCUUCCCCUUUCCCCUGUUUCGGCUUCCCUGCUUCCGAUUCACGCCUCCCCUUUUCUUUUCCAGAAACCCAAAACCAACUUUGGAUUUAAAACCUUUUAUUUCCUCCAAACCAUAAUAAAAGGUGGGCCAUAUUUCCUUUGGGCUUUUGGAAUUGGACUCGGAGCUCAGGACAAACGAACCAAGGAAAAUCCUUAGCAAAAUCGUGGAAGUGAGGUGCUGCGGGGAACGAUGGAAACGAUUAGUGGCGAGGAAUUUCACCAUUAUAAUAUUCACCUAGUUUAUGCUUAAAGUUAUAAUAGUUUAAUUAAGAACUUUUAGUAAGUUAUGGACUUUUAUUUUGGUAAUAUAAAGGAUUAUUAUAUUAAUUUGGAGAUUUAAUGGCAUAGAAUAUGAUGGUUGCCUUGUAAUUCCCAAGAGGGAGUUACGGCAGGUAAUGUCCCGACCAAAUUAGGUUAAUUCCGCUGCUAAUUAUGAUUCAAUAUUUGGAUUAGAGGUCGGGGUGUUACAGUUUGGUAAGGUAACGGUGUGAGUAGUGGGUAGUGGUAGAGGUAGCGUUUGAUUAGCUUUUGAGAAACGUUACAAAUAUUAAUUGUUGUAACGGAUGCAAAGAAACAUUAAAUAACGUAAAUAAAGAAAGCAGAGAAAAAAAAUAGCAUUUAAGCCAUCCAAUCCCGGAGUGGCUAUUCUGCCCUUUUUUUUCAAAAUGGGAUUUAACGUGAUUCACUCACAAUGUAUUAGCUACGUCCACAGGUAGAGGGGAGGAAAGUUUUAUUGAUCUUGAUGAGUACAGAUUACAAAAUACAACUAGAUUAUAACCUAGUGAGUUUAUAUAGUAAUCUCUAAACGGAUGCGGAAAAACCCAGAAAAUAGGCCCAAAACAGAUAACCCUAGUCCAGAACAACGGAUACCGUAAGAUUCGGCGUUGCAGUAAAGGGUUUGACCGAUUCAAGGCAUUAUUCUAAGAUUAACUUUUGGUGUAGCGGUGGUUGUUUACUGUUGUUUAAUCGGACUUUUAAUAGAACUUAUUUUCUGAUUGGUCCAGUUCUUUAGAAAUCAUGCAUGUAUGAUAUCAGGUUUACACGUUUUAA